GACCGUGCAAAGGUAGCAUAAUCAUUUGCCUUAUAAUUGAAGGCUUGUAUGAAUGGUUUGACAAGAAUAAAGCUGUCUCUUUACAAAUAAAUAUAACUUUAUUUACAGGUGAAGAAGCCUGUAUUAUAUUGAAAGACAAGAAGACCCUAUCGAGCUUUAAACAAAUUAGUAAAAAGUAAAUUGUAUUUAUAUCGAAUUAGUUACUAAAAAUUUUAGUUGGGGCGACUAAGGAACAACUAAAGCUUCCUAAAAGAUUUUAAAUACUAUCAGGUUGUGAUCCAAAAACUUUGAUUAAAGAAAUUAGUUACCGUAGGGAUAACAGCAUUAUCUUUUUUAAGAGUUCAAAUCGAAAAAAAGGUUUGUGACCUCGAUGUUGGACCAGAAUAUCCUGAAGAUGCAGCCGUCUUCAAGGGUUGGUCUGUUCGACCAUUAAAAUUCUACGUGAUCUGAGUUCAGACCGGCGUGAGCCAGGUCAGUUUCUAUCUUCUAUUUUUAAUGUGGACCUAGUACGAAAGGAUUGGUCUAUAAUAACAAUUGUUCUUUUUGAUGUAGUAUAAAAACUUAUUAAAUUAUUAAGAAUAAAAAAUCAAAUUAGCAAAGAUAAUGCAAUUGACUUAGGAUCAAUAGACAUAGGUGAAAUUCCUUUAUUUGAUAUAAGCAUAGAGGUGGCAGAUGAA
rnacentral:rRNA from 1 species